UCGAACGAUGAAGCCCAGCUUGCUGGGUGGAUUAGUGGCGAACGGGUGAGUAACACGUGAGUAACCUGCCCCUGACUUCGGGAUAACUACGAGAAAUUGUGGCUAAUACCGGAUAUGACACGUGCCUGCAUGGGUGUGUGUGGAAAGAUUUAUCGGUUGGGGAUGGGCUCGCGGCCUAUCAGCUUGUUGGUGGGGUGAUGGCCUACCAAGGCGACGACGGGUAGCCGGCCUGAGAGGGUGACCGGCCACACUGGGACUGAGACACGGCCCAGACUCCUACGGGAGGCAGCAGUGGGGAAUAUUGCACAAUGGGCGAAAGCCUGAUGCAGCGACGCCGCGUGAGGGAUGACGGCCUUCGGGUUGUAAACCUCUUUCAGUAGGGAAGAAGCCUUCGGGUGACGGUACCUGCAGAAGAAGCGCCGGCUAACUACGUGCCAGCAGCCGCGGUAAUACGUAGGGCGCAAGCGUUGUCCGGAAUUAUUGGGCGUAAAGAGCUCGUAGGCGGUUUGUCGCGUCUGCUGUGAAAACGCAAGGCUUAACCUUGCGCCUGCAGUGGGUACGGGCAGACUAGAGUGCGGUAGGGGAGACUGGAAUUCCUGGUGUA
rnacentral:rRNA from 1 species